UCUGAAAAUAUAUAGAAACAUAUUUAUUUGAUCUUGUUUAAAUAACAACAGCAAAAAAUAUUAAUUUUGUUUAGUAGAAAAAGAUUGCCAAUACUAUAGGUCUUUCAAAGUGAUAUCCCUUUAUUUCUUAGAAAUUCAGAAUGUUACACUGUAUUAUUAUAAUACUAAAAACUACUAAGCGAAUUCGAUUGAAUAUACUAGUGCACACUGAUGCAACCUGUUGAUUAAAAUUGUUGUUGUAUAUAUGUACGCAUUGCAUUAAACAUUCAAUUCAAUUACGUUCUACAAAAAGAAACACACCUAAUAUUUCAAAAUCGAAAAAUUAUUGACACGCAAAAAAAAAACAAAAAAAUUUACACAAAUAUUAUAAAGAUUUAAUAAAUUUAAAAUAAUGUAAAAUAUAAUUUUAAUCGUUACCGAUAAACAUAGAAAUAUUUGUCUAGUUAUAGCCGAGUUGGGUAAUAACUAGUUAAACUAUUAAAAGUUGACAAUCAAUUAAAAAGCUAAUAACUUUUGACAAGAGGUAUAUAUAUUGCAGUCAAUGGAAUCGGAAAAGUCGAUUUUUCAAAGAUUUUAUUUUCUAAGAGUAUAUCUUCCUAAAAAUAAUCCCUGAAAAUUUUAGAGCCGUCAAAAAUUUUCGGAGAUACAGGUCUUGUUUAAAUCGCGCGCCGCCGCGCCAGGUCAGGUAGCGCUGCCGCGCGUUCUCUUUCUACUUUCUUAUGAAUUAUCUAGUGCACACCUAAGCUGUUUAUUUGUGUUAAUAGAUUAUAAAGAGACUUAAACCAACUGAGCCAAAAUUGAUUCUUCGAAGUACGAAAUAGAGUUGACAAAACAAGACUCGAGUGCUGUGACAGUGCUAUUCGAGACUCCGAGCCGUGCGGUUGUGUUUACAAUGAAAUAAAUUUACAAUCAAAAGAUUUAAAAAAAUCUGAGGAAAGGCGAAAAGUUUCGUAAAUCAAGGCCAAAAAAAAUAAAAAAUAUUUUUAAUCUGAAAACGGGCAAAACGGACGAGAGUAGUUUUAGCAUAUCAGAGAAAAAAAUCAAAGGCCAGGAAGAAAUAAUCGUGCCGGAAGAUAAUAAUUCUGAGUAUAGAAUUUUGGACUUUAUAACGGUAUUUGCUGCAAUCUCAACGUUUGUAAACUGUAAAAAGUGCAAUGGAAAUAUUAAAUUUGCACAAACACAUGAGCUCGGUUUUAAGGUUGUAGUGCUGUGUGAAAACUGCGCGUCUCAGUACAUUCCCAUUUGUCGGCCAUUCUUAUGAAAUCAAUCGACGAUUUAUUUUUGUCAUGAGACUAUUAGGAAUAGGACUACAAGGUUGUAAAAAGUUUUGCGAUUAAUGGACAUGCCGCCAUUUCUUGCACAAGGAACGUAUAAUAUGAUUAUUGCGCAGAUGCACGGCUGCGUGAAAACGAUCGCUGAAAAAUUUUUCAAUAAAAGUGUCAAAGAAGAGAUUACAGAGACUUGUAAAUAGCAAAAUGUUGAAAAAAACAUCAGAGUUAACUGUGUCCGGAGAUGGCACGUGGAAGAAAAGAAGUUUUAUCUCUUUAUACGGCGUUUCUUCUUUAAUUGGCUGUUAUACAGGAAAAUCAUCGAUCUCAUAGUAAAAAAUGCAUAUUGUAAAGUAAAGCAUUUGGAGCAAGAAAACUGGUUUUGCUGAGUAUGAAAAGUGGAAGGAAACACAUAAAAGUGAAUGCAUUUCCAGUCAUAAAGUCUCUUCCGUAUAAUAGAAGUAUAAUGGAAGUAUAUUCUAUUGUAAAAAUGUUCCAGCAAUCUGAACAAAAAUAUGGAGUAAAAUACAAAAAUUACGUCAGGGACGGUGAUUCCAAACAUAUACUGGAAUUGUAAAUGCUGCUCCGUAUGUGAGACGUCAAUGACUAAAAAAAAUGCAUUGAAUACGUGCAAAAAUAAAUGAGCACACGCCUUCGUGACGUGAAAAAAAAUCAACUAGCACGACCGUGGACGAAAAAACAGGUAAAGAAACAAGAGCUUCGCUUGGCGGUAAAAGAAAACUCACUGUAUAUUAUAUGGGUUAGCUAUUAGAAGAAACUGUGACUCAAUCGAAAAGAUGCGCGAAGCUAUUUGGGCGACGUAUUAUCACUACGGUUCCACAAAUAAGAAUCCUCGUCACGAGAAAUGCCCGCCUGGCGCUGAGUCGUGGUGUAUCUGGGCAGCGCGCUUCCGCGGCAGACAAAUUGGAGUCUUAUAAACAUGAUUAUAAUGCUUUAUCACAAGAUGUCUUAGAUGAAAUCAAAUCAAUGUACGAGGACUUGAGCAAGGACACUUUGUUGAAGAGAUGUGUAAGUGGAUUCACACAAAACAGUAUUGAAAGUUACAAUUAACUUAUUUGGAAAAUCAGCCCUAAAAUCAUCCCAGAGCCAAGUGGUUCUGUGAUAGUUGAAAUUGCUGCCUACAUUGCUGCUUGCACUUUCAACGAAGAUGCAGAGACCCUACUGUCAAUAUUACAUGCAAUGUCUGUAAGACGCAAGAAAACACUGGAAAAGGAAGAAUGUUUCGUAGGCAACGUCAGAUUGGCAUUUUAGAAGCGGCAAGUGCAGCGGAAGGCCUUUUAGAUGGAGCUGGAAUUGAUGAUGAUAUAACCUGGGAGUGAGCAAAAGUGAUCAUCAUGAUUAGAAUUUUUUUCGAGACGUUUUCGGCAAACUGCUGUAUCUCGCUAUAAACUGCAUAUUUGUACUUAACAAAAUUUCUAAAGAUUCUUCAGUAGUUACUUUUUCAUAAGUCAUAAAUUAUAAAUAAAUCUAUGCAUAUACUUUUUUUAAAAAAUCCUUAAAUGUAGCGUUUUUUGGCUAUAUAUAACCCUAACUUAAUCUUAA